UCAAACUCAAAGUGGUCAGUCUUUCCAACGAGUAAAUUUUGUGAAAGAUCACCAAGUUAAAAAAAACAUAAGAGGAGGUAUUCACGGCUUCACACACAUCACAUGUUGAUCAAUAUAAUUGGCAUGUCGAUAGUGCGUGUACAAGGCACAUGGCGAUUGAUGAAAAUCUGUUUGUUAGAUUGGACAGGUCUGAUAGGACCAAAGUGAAGCUUGGAGAUGGUGCACUAGUGCAAGCUCGAGGAU
rnacentral:lncRNA from 1 species